rnacentral:pre_miRNA from 1 species
GAUAUCAACAGAAAAAGUUAUCAACAACAAAGUAGAAUAACUCAUCAAGAUCUAAAACUUUUAUUUUGGUCAUUUGUUCAUACGACAAAGUGAUAGUAAGAUUGUUCACAAAAUUGACAUAUCUCUUAUCUGGUUUAUAAACUAUAACACAUAUAUGUAAAAUUUGUGAAUAAUGUUACUAAAUUUUAUUGGAUGAAGAAAUAACAUAAAAGUUUUAGAUCUUGAUGAGUUAUUCAACAUUGUUGUUGAUGACUUUUUCAAUUGAAAUC